AAAGUACACAUUACACGACAACUGCGAAUACAAACGUAAAAGAGCUAGAGACUGACGAUGAGUCAAACAUUACCUUAUUGCUAGCAUGUAUCGGUCUUAUGGCUGCAGCAAUUGUAGUUUUGGUCACAGUUAUAAUUCGUCGCAAGCGACUGUCAAAGGUAACAGACAAAAUGACGAAGGAUAAAACGCUAGCUGACAAGGAUAAGCCAUAUGAAACACUGAGGAAGCCGGAGGUCAGUGUUAUUAAAGCAAACACUCCUGAGGGAUUCUAUCGAGUCAUUUCAUACGAACAAUGUGUAGAUGCUGUCAGAGGGGGUACAAACCCAGGCUAUGAUACCUUAAACAACAUCGACAACUACUAUACAAUUGCAGAACAUGACAAGGGGGCACUGAACAUAGAAAAAGAGUUGUAUGAAGAGGAAGACCACUAUGUUACGCUACCUUAAGAAAGAGAAAGUGUGGGAUAAUGAAAUAACUUAGUAUCAUUGUACUUUGAAAUGUUCGAAAAAGUCUUUUAAUGUAAUUACUACUACCAAAUUUAAACAAGUAUUGAAAAAUACUGAAAACUUUAAAUACUCGGUACAUGGGCAGAAACACAAUUAAAUCCUAUAUACAGUUUUACUUUUAUAUGAAUAAGGGCAAAUGAUAUGAACAGAUUGAGAACAUAGAGAAAGAGCUCGGAUAUACGUUCAUGAAAUAUAACAUUUAUUGUGAUACAUCAUGGUUUUUGAAUGAAUUUACAUUCAAAAUGAUUUCUUGAAUAUAGUUUAAUAUAUAGAAUGUAGUAUACAUAUUGCAAGUGAAAUAUUACAUUAUUCUUUUUUCAAUGGAUUAGGUAAGUUCUGCACGUUAGGAUCGGUUUUUCUACACUGUAAAAUUUGAUUAAAACACGAUUUUUCAAAACUUCAGAAUAUGCUAGGAAAGUUCAGCAAAUGAAAAAGAUGGGGUCUUGUGCUUGUUUAUUUGCUACACAGAGUUUUUCGAAACGGUAGUCUAUGGGAAAAUACAACUUUCAUAUCAUUUUCGCGGUGAGAAUGUUUUAUACAAUGUAGGUUUUAAUGAAACGUCUCACAGUCGAAACUAAACAUAUGUUUUUUAAAAUGGUAAAAUAUAAAAUGUCCGUGGGCUUAGUUUUUAGAUAUUUUACUAUGAUUUAAGUGAACCGUACAUUUCAAGCUAAUUUUAAGACAUUAUUUUGAAUUAUUUAACGUGUCAGAUGUUUUAAUAUCAUAUUUUAGCUUUAGAAAGAUAGUAAAAUUACCAUUGUAAUGAAUUUACCCGCGGAUUGCCAUUACUUCAUAAAAUGAUUUCAUUUCCGUAUGUCGAAUCCAGGCUUUAUUCUAAUUUUACGAAAAAAGAUGUUACGCUAUCACUUACGGUUUAUCGAAAUUGCAGAACUACCUUAAACCGUUUUGUGAAUAUUGGGAUUAUAUAUACGUAUUUAUACAAAACAGUCAUUUCACAUUUUCAUCAUCUUGGUUUCGUGUUUUCGUCAUCGUGGUUUAAACUAUCAUCUUCGUUCUUUCGUAUUUCGUCAUUGUACUUUCGACAUUCGAUGAAAUCAGAAAUAAUAAAGAUCUCAUUUUAUUGGUAGCAACAAUAAACAGGAUUAACACGACUAUGUGAUUUCUGCUUAAUUUAAGGGAAUUUUGAAUGAGAAUCUUGAACCUUUCAUAGGGAUCGAGGUGAUAUACAAAUUAACGUGCUCAGUCUAGAUGGUUCAAAUUAUUUACUAUGAUUUUCUGGUUUUCUUGAAAGAAACUACAUAGCAUUGUAGCAAGCUUCUGUAAAAAUCUUGUUACAACAUGUAUAUUGCAUGUUAUUUAUCAUGCGUAACAAAUCACACUCGAACCUGACGCAUUUUUAGAAUCCCUAAUGCUUCAUACAAGCUUGUUCAAACAAAUGUACUUUUAUUGAGUCAAAAAGUUUACCUGUAAUCAAUGCCAUUUUAUGAUUUACAGCUGCUUUUGUUUGAAUUUUUUAUUCUUAUAAUAGGGAAUCCUCUCUUUCAUAUAUCUCUUCUUUUGAAAAAAUGUAGAUAUUUACUAUUAAACGGGCAGAGUGAUUUAAUCAUAUUUUAUUACGUGAAAUUGGUUUUAACAUUGGAUGCAUUUGUGUAGCUUAUAUAAAAAUAUCUGUCUGUUAACGCUUUAAACAUUUUCAUGUACAUAUAUACUUAUAUAUCAAUGUGUAAUUUUUGAUUUGGUAUCUGAGUCCAGAAAUGUUGGCAAUAAUUCGGAGUAACACAGUGAUAAACGUAUACAGUAUCUCGAAAGCUGGGGGUUCUCCUUGGCCGGGUUGUUACAUUCGAUGACUUCAAAUCACUCACACCUCACCGAUGUCAGUUCGAGCCUCAUUUGGGGCGUAGAGUUCUCUAGGCAAGAAAGUAAUCCAACUGGCUAACAGAAAGACCAUGGUUCGACCUAGGUGCCCACUGGGAUAUUCAGCAAUGCCCAGAUGACAUUUUCUCAACCAUCAAAAGCUUGAAAGUCACCAUAUUACCUAAAAUUGUAUCGGCGUAACGCUAAUAUACCAAUAAAAGCACGAGCCGGGAGAUCACAAAAAAACAUUCACAUUUCUCAUUUUUCCUGCUUUUGAAGAGUCACACCGAAAAACUGUAAGUCAUUUUGGCAACUUUUGAAGCUUUUGAUUUUGGAGAAUGACCUUUGGCGUCCUUUCGAGUUUCGUUCUUUUUAGCACGGGUAAAUGUCUGGGGAAAUAAUGCAUUUACAUACCUUUUCACCGUAAAGUAAUAUGAAACUCAUUGUUUUGUUGCAUGUGACAAUAAGUUGAUACUUAUGGAACAUAAGAUAUUUAGGAAUCAUUUAGUAGCUUGAAUAUAACUUACAGCGCAUGUUCUCCUCCUUUAAUAUUUCAUUGUAUGAUAAAGUGCUACAUUUUACAUACACUCUUAUACUUUGGUUUUAAAUUCAGCUUUUGGUCUAAUAACCAUACUCAAUUUUAAACCUUAAAUAUCGGAAUUACCUAAGACGUUUUUAUUUUAUAUAUUGCAAAAACAUUUAGUCUGUAGUAUGUGGAUAUCGAAUAGCAUACUAUCAUAUCACCCCCUUUACAAAUACGCCUGAAGAGGACAAUCGAACUUCAUGAGUAAAACCAAAUUGUUUUUUUAUGCCCCCGAAGGGAGGCAUAUUAGUUUUCAACUGUCCGUCCGUUCGUUCGUUCGUUAGUUAGUUAAUUAGUUCGUUCGUUCGUUAGUCACAACGUUAACUUUUUGCAUGAAGGCACUUUACUCGCAAACCACUGCACCCAGGACCUUCAAACUUCACAUGCUGAUAGUACUUAUUGAGUAUACCACCCCUACUGACUUUAGCGUCACCAGGUCAAAGGUCAAGGUCACAGGGGCCAACGUUAACUUUUUGCAUUAAGGCACUUUACUCGCGAACGAUUGCACUCAGGACCUUCAAGCUUCACAUGCUGAUAGUACUUACUGAGUACACCAUCUCUAAUGACUUUGAGGUCACCAGAUCAAAGUUCAAGGUCACAGGGGCCAACGUUAACUUUUUGCAUGAAGGCACUUUACUCGCGAACCACUGCACCCAGGACCUUCAAACUUCACAGGCUGAUAGUACUUAUUGAGUACACUACCUCUACUGACUUUGAGAUCACCAGAUCAAAGUUCAAGGUCACACGAGCCAACGUUAACUUUUUGCAUGAAGGCACUUUACUCGCGAACCACUGCACCCAGAACCUUCAAACUUCACGUGGUGAUAGUACUAUUUAAGUACACUACCCUUACUGACUUUGGAGUCACCAGGUCAAAGGUCAAGGUCACAGGGUCCAACGUUAACCUUUUGCAUGAAGGCACUUUACUCGCGAACCACUGCACUCAGGACCUUCAAGCUUCACAUACUGAUAGUACUUAUUGAGUACACUACUCCUACUGACUUUGAAGUCACCAGGUCAAAGGUCAAGGUCACAGGGGCCAACAUUAACUUUUUGCAUGAAGGCACUUUACUCGCGAUCCACUUCACCCAGGACCUUCAAACUUUACAUGCUGAUAGUACUUUACGAGUACACCAACCCUACUGACCUUGGGGUCACCAGGUCAAAGGUCAAGGUCACAGGGGCCAACGUUAACUUUUUGCAUGAAGGCACUUUACAUGCAAACCACUGCACCCAGGACCUUCAAACUUCACAUGCUGAUAGUACUUAUUGAGUACACCACUCCUACUGACUUUGGGGUCACCAGAUCAAAGGUCAAGGUCACAGGAGCCAACAUUAACCUUUUGCAUGAAGGCACUUUACUCGCGAACCACUUCACCCAGGACCUUCAAACUUUACAUGCUGGUAGUACUUUAUGAGUACACCAUCCCUACUGACUUUUGGGUCACCAGGUCAAAGGUCAAGUUGCUGCGGGGGCAUUUGUCACCAUUAGUGACAGCUCUUGUUCUUUCUACAUGACACAAGUUUUAUACGGAAUUAUUAUUUAACCUCCACUUAUUGUAACUGUAAGGUUAUAUGUUAUUUGUUGAUAUUGCAAUAAAAACCUCUAAAAUAAAA